rnacentral:lncRNA from 1 species
GCUCCACCGCCCCCCGGGGGCGCCCGCGAUGUUCCCUGGCCGCCUUGCGCUCGGCCUGCUUUUGUGCUAAGGGCUGUAAAAUCAAGCCGGUUGCGUCCUCUGCGUUAGGCGGUGGGGAGAGGAGCCGGCCCUCUGCAGGCCGCGGCAGCCUGGCGGGCGGGGAGGUGCUUCGCAGCGGGCCUGGCGUGCUCCCUCGGUAAACUCCCCUGAGGAAAAGGACGCUGAAGGUGUCGGAAAAGCAAACAGGUUCUGUGUUUUAAAGGACUAGGUACCGUAUCUCAUCAGGAUCUGAGAGGAACACGCUUGGGAAGCCCAUCUCUUAUUCAUGACUAUUCUGGUCUUCAUUCCUGCAUUUAUCGCGGUCUCUGAGGAGCCGCAGGAAGAGGCGGCAGGGUGAGAGCAGCAGGUGUGGGGAAACACCUGUGCAGCCGCGCUGCGAGGGCAUGUGAGCCAGCGCUUUGCAAGUCCAGAAAGAAUAGAAAACAGAGCAAAAAUGGCAUCUGUACUGUGCAUGUGCUUAAGAAUGAUCCAGUUCUAAUGACUCAGCUUAGACGUUUUGGGAAGAUGAGUUCCCGGCUGUGCUGUUGUAACCUG